GUUGGGUUUUACAGUGCAUAAAUGAGUGUAAGAAUUUCUUGAAGAGAUCAUUUAACCGUUUAAAAGGCUUUAAUUUCUGUUCAUAGUACAUAAUAAUCACUAUUGUACGCCCGAGAGAAAGCUUGAAGGAGUUUAUGAGCCAUAAAAGCGUUCAAAAGUCGAGUUGAUUAUAAUCAGAUAAGCCGUAUGUCAAGAAACAGGCAACAAGAGAGAGGAGGAAACGCAACAGCAGAGGAUGCGAGAAGAAUGGAGUUAGAUGCUGGAGCGUCAUCAUUGCCUAGUGACUCUCCUAGCAACAGGAAACAUCUGUUUCAGCGUCGACCAAUCAGAAGCCGGCGCAGUGUGUUAUUGCUCUCUGCACAGAAAGAGGAUAUUUUAAGAGCCGAGAGUGAGCCGAAUACUACAGGGAUUAUAUCAAAAGCAAGACUUCGACAUCUGGGGGCGACGCGUCAAACUCACGCGGUGCUGAAAGCGGCGGCGUUCGCUACAAUAUGAGCUGUUUUGAGCCUCUGAUCUGAUGAACGUGCGUGAGGGGACUGUUAAUGUGCCUUUAAAAAUACGCCCACACUAAUCUCUCCACCCACGGUUAUCGCGCGUGGCACGUUUCUUUGAAACUGAUAAAUGAAGCACAGCUCUGGCGGGCGCUGAAUUGCGCAGAGCAUCAAGCAACUACAGCACAGCUCUCUGCAGAUUUCAUUACAUUCACUGCUUCUAUGAGGCACUGCCCAUUUCUGUAUGUGAGGGAGGAACCAUUAGGCGAUGUGUGUGAACCAGAGGAAAGAGCCUCAGGUGAAUAGAGGAUUUGUCAGAGAGGCGUGUGAGCGUGUCUGCUUAAAGCAGUCCUCAGGGUCUUUCCUCUAAGAGUGCCCUCAACAGUCAACAACGUCGAAAGUCGCCUACUUUAAGCGAAAAUAUGCGGAAGAGGAGGAUGUUCAGGGAAGCCUACAUGGAUAUUUACAAAAACACCUGAUCCUGCGUGAGGAGCGCAGCUGCAUCCUCCGUCUGUCCCUGCAGAAGCUGCGUUUCCUAGACGACCCCGAGGCGUACCUGCGCCGCUCCGUCCUGAUCAACAACCUGCUCCGCAAGAUCCACCUGGAUGAGGCCCAGAGGGAGAAAGACAAACGGGAGGAGGAGGAGAUCGAAAGGAGGCGCAAGAGACUCAAGCUGGUGCUCCAGGAGUAUAAGCUGCUGCCGUAUUCGUCCUCACCAGCCGCAUGCAUCUGUGGCCUGGGGAGCUGCCACACCCUGCCUCCUGAUCAUGGAGUGCUACUCUAUCAUUUGGAUGAGAAAGGAUAGGACGUCAUCAGGAGCAUCCAAAGGGGAUUUCUAACAGCCCGUGAGGGAUUUCCAGGAGCCGUGCGGCAAAAGGAGAUCAGUGUUUGUGGAAUUGUGCAUGGUGAAGUCUGCUGGUGAGCCUGAGCUUUGCGGUUUCUGACAGACAGGUGUUUGUCCAUAUAUCAGGGUGCAUUUUUUCCAGCUGGAAAAAAGAGAACGUCGUCUUGUUAUCACUGCCUCGCUCUGUUGAUCUGAACUUUGACCACAGACGCUUUUGUUUUCAUAAAUUUUGCUUGAGUAAGCUAUUAUCUUAAGCACUGUUUUCAGGGAUAAAAAAGGCAAAUGAAAGCCAUGCACUUUGUGGUAGUUAUGUUGUAAAAAAAAAAAAAAAGGCGAAUUUUAAAUCGUCAGUGUCAAAGUCUUGCUAAGGAUGGAGUGAUUUUCCUGAAGCUUUUGUGCUGUGAAAUGGACAACUUUGUGUACGUGGCCAUGAUUUUGAACAAGAUUAUGAUUUUAUUAAUAUUCUCAAUAAAUGCAUCAAUGCUGGUUUUAUAUCAUGUAAA